AUGGAGCUACACCCACAGGUGCUUUGCUGGAACAUUCACGGACUGAACAAUCCAGCUAAACGUAAGGCGGUACGGGAGUUUGUUGCCACGAUCCGUGUCAACUUGGUGUGUUUCCAAGAGACUAAACUUGAUGUAAUCGACCACUUCACAAUUAUGCAAUGCCUAGGGCCAUCUUUUGAUGGUUUUGACUACUUACCGGCGGAGGACACACGGGGAGCUAUUCUUUUGGCAUGGGAUAGCUCCGUUCUCUUGGUAGAUAGUAUCCAGCAUGAUGCAAACGCCUUGACUGGGAGGGUGCACACCAAAGUGGGGGAACCAUGGUGGAUUACUGCGGUUUACGAACCACAAGGAGACGAACUGAAGACGCGAUUUCUCGCUGACUUGCGUGUAGACGCAUGGCCUGCCCUGGGCCAUGGAUGGUGCUGGACGAUUUCAACAUGA
rnacentral:rRNA from 1 species